UACGUAGGGGGCAAGCGUUGUCCGGAUUCAUUGGGCGUAAAGAGCUCGUAGGCGGUUUGUCGCGUCUGCUGUGAAAACUCGGGGCUUAACCCCGGGCCUGCAGUGGGUACGGGCAGACUAGAGUGCGGUAGGGGAGACUGGAAUUCCUGGUGUAGCGGUGAAAUGCGCAGAUAUCAGGAGGAACACCGGUGGCGAAGGCGGGUCUCUGGACAGUUCCUGACGCUGAGGCACGAAGGCCAGGGGAGCAAACGGG
rnacentral:rRNA from 1 species